GCUUUCCCACCAAGCCUAGCGACGGCGAUUGCGACGUUGGCUGGGGCACCACCAGGAGCCUUCAGAAAACCAGGUGCCUCGGCUAAGGACACACCGGAGACGGUAGGGACGAAGUCGAUCAACAUCUCGCCGAAGCUGACUAUGAGGGAAGAGCCGGAGCUGUCAUUGGUCACAGCUGACGCCAUUGGAAUAAGAUUUUACUUGGGAGAAGAAGGAGAAAAUGAAGUCUUUCUAGAGAGAGAAAAUGAAGUCUUUCUAGAGCACGUUUGGAGAUUUUGAAGAGGAGAGAGAGGAGAAGAAGAAGGUAUAUAUAG
rnacentral:misc_RNA from 1 species